AGUGAAAACUGAACGAACAAGUACCCACGUACACAUAUACACACAUAAAAGAGCUAAGUUUUCCAAGAGAGGUUUGAAAAAUACCUGAAUUCAGCAUAUGGAUCCUGAAAAUAAUAGGCGGGAGCAGGAGACAGCACAUGGAGCUACUGAGUCAAGACACUGAAAAAAGGAAACAUAAGUGAGGGUUAAACAUGGAGCCUGGGAGUCAAGACCUGGCUUCCACUCCUGACUUCACCAUGGAUCUGCCAUGCGAUGCUGCCCAGCUUACACGGAGCUGAGAAGAUGCAGGGCUUUGCACUUUGCGCAGUGGUGAUCCUGUUCUCCAGAGAGUAAUUCCUGUUUGACUGUACUUGCCUGCACAGACUGACUUUGGCUUUUACUUUCUUGCUUUAUGAGGGACAGUCUGAAACUGUUGGCACUCAAGGCUGGCUGUGUCUCAUGUGACAGAGUUUACAGGCACAGUCCCUCUGCCUCUAGCAACUCAAAUGAGCUACUGGUGGGAUUAAUUUGAGUCACUUAGUUUUCCCCAGUUCUCAGUGGAGAGGAAUAGGUGAUUCAUGGCUAGGAUUUCAAAUAAACCAUGACCUAGAAGUGCCUGAUUUUUUUCUCCGUGGUCUGAAAUAAGCCAGAGAUGAUGCGCUCAGAUGUCCACAUAGAAAUCUGGAGUUAUAUAGCAUUAAACCAGGCCUCAGUUUCCCCAUAUGUAAGCUGGGAUAAUGGGACCAAAUGAAUAAUAUCAUAUCUAAUCAGCUUGCUGUCACCCUUGUCUCUAUGUGAGUGGGUUGCAGCCUGCUUGGGCCCGAGAACAUAUGUCAACACAUGUUAAAGGGAAAUGGUAUGCUGCGCCUUUCCCUUUUCUUUACCAAGUCCCUGCAGUUCUUGUCUCUGUCUAGGCUGCAAGGGAAGGAGCAGAUAGGGCUGAACAAGCUGCAGUCCCUGGCACUGCUCCCAAAAAUACAAGUGUAUUUCUAGACACAAAUGCAAUUGAAAACAAAUGUUUCAAAAGUCAUUAACUUUCAGAAAGCCCCCACCAAAUCCACAACUGAAUAGUUUAAAGAGAACCAGAUCAUUCACUUAUUCACAGAUUUUAAGAGUAGAGGGGGUAUUUUCACUGUUAAUUCUGGUGUCCUAGGUAACACAGUUUGUCUUCCUUCACUUUGUCCACCAGUCCAUCAACUGGAACACAUAUUUCAAACCAGACUCCCAAAUUCUAGGAUUCAAAACUGCUCAGAUGACAUUGUUGAAGAGUUUCUAUAAUUAACAUUCUAAUGAAAAUUAUAGCCCCAAAAGGUUUUGAAAAGAUUUGUCAAUAAAGAAAUUCACUUAAGAAGCUGACCUUGUUGUCAUUCAGUUAAUUCCACUUCCCUCUGAAUCAUCCCUGGGCCUCAAGGUUUCAGGAAAUUUCUCCCUCAGUCUCAGCUUCCUGGGGAAUUUUCUAUCCCCUCUCAUUUGUGGGUGUGAUAGGAUAAUAGCAGCAAUCCAGUCCUUAUUGUCUGUAACUGCGGAUGAACAGUGCUGUAUAAGGGUAAAGUGUUAUUAUUAUUGUAAGGAAAUAAUAAUACUAAUAAAACAAAAUGAAUCGAA